UAAAGAGGCUCUUUGUGUACCUCUCAGGCUGUGAGAGCAGCACAGAACCUGCGAGCUGAACAAUGCUGCAGGUGUCUUCCCUUGUAAAACAUGUAAUUAUUGCCUUCUGUAAGUGAAAUGGAUAUGGGGAUUCUGCGUGGGGUGGCAGUGAAGAUGUGGGGUGGCACACUGCUAUUAGUGCUGUUACGAAUGGAAGAUCAGCAGGCACGCUCCUCAGUAGAUGAGGUGACUUUGCGUACAAGUGCUGCAAAUGUUUUGUUCUUCUCCUUUGCUGCUGAACUACUGGGAAGUGAGGAUGGGUGGAAAUGGAGAUGGCGAUCGCCAGCGGCUUCUGCCAGGAGGCCAUGUGUGCAGCCAACAGAUGACUACAUGGGGAUCUAUAAAGCAAUAAAAAGCAGAGUCCAGAUAACAAGGCUUAGCGGGAAUAAAGAUAAGGCAGCAUCCACACCAUCGGUGCAUGCAUGGGCAAAGACGAGAGCAGGAAGAGCAGGAUGCCCUUCACAACCUCUGUGCACGAGAGCAAGAUAGACCCCAGGACAGAGUAAGAAAGAAGAGAUGCAACCCAUCAACCUCCUUCUGCAUCUCUCUCUGCACCCGUGGAUCUAUAGGGAGAGGCAUUCUGGUGCACACUUCCCUGAAGCUGAUGUGUGAAACAGUCUCUGCAGGAGAUAAUGGUGAGCAGCCCUCAAUGAAAGCAGGAGCUAAAUCUGAUUCACAGUAAUCGCUUGAAAUGUGUUACCCAGUCAUCUGCUGCCUUGCACAGCGUGCCAACACUGGUAUAAUGAACCGCUGAUCGUUCACUUAAUAGCUACACAGUGGCUGAAAAGAUGGGGACUCCUACAUCAUGUAAAUUUGCCUAGAUUUCAUACUC
rnacentral:lncRNA from 1 species